rnacentral:rRNA from 1 species
UACGAAGGGGGCUAGCGUUGUUCGGAAUUACUGGGCGUAAAGGGCGCGUAGGCGGCUCUGAUCGUCGGAUGUGAAAGGCCUGGGCUCAACCUGGGAAUGGCAUCCGAUACGGCGGGGCUGGAGUGUGGGAGAGGUUGGUGGAAUUCCCAGUGUAGAGGUGAAAUUCGUAGAUAUUGGGAAGAACACCGGUGGCGAAGGCGGCCAACUGGACCACAACUGACGCUGAGGCGCGAAGCGUGGGGAGCAAACAGG